rnacentral:rRNA from 1 species
UACGUAGGGUGCGAGCGUUAAUCGGAAUUACUGGGCGUAAAGCGUGCGCAGGCGGUCUGUUAAGACAGAUGUGAAACCCCCGGGCUUAACCUGGGAACUGCAUUUGUGACUGGCAGGCUAGAGUAUGGCAGAGGGGGGUAGAAUUCCACGUGUAGCAGUGAAAUGCGUAGAGAUGUGGAGGAAUACCGAUGGCGAAGGCAGCCCCCUGGGCCAAUACUGACGCUCAUGCACGAAAGCGUGGGGAGCAAACAGG